UGCGUAAUAGCUCACUGGUCGAGUGACUCUGCGCCGAAAAUUUAACGGGGCUAAACUAUACACCGAAGCUUGGGAUACAUCUAAUGUAUGGUAGGAGAGCGUUCUGUAUGGGGAGAAGUCGUAGCGAAAGCGGCGGUGGACUGUACAGAAGUGAGAAUGCCGGAAUAAGUAGCGAGAAUUAAGUGAGAAUCUUAAUGGCCGAAAGUCUAAGGUUUUUGGAGGAAGGUUCGUCCGCUCCAAGUAAGUCGGGAGCUAAGGUCAGGCCGAAAGGCGUAGCCGAUGCACAUACGGUUGAUAUUCCGUAACCAUCUGUAAUUUAAGCAAAGGGACACUUCAAAAGGGUGUGACCCGGGCGUUGGUUGACCCGGGCGUAAGGGACCGAAAUUAGAGUAGGGAAGCACACUUGGCUGAAGGCGAGAAAAGCUUUGCGUAUAGAAGCAGAUGCCCGUACCGCAAACCGACACAGGUGGACAGGAAGAGAAUUCUAAGGCCAGCGGGAGAAGGGUAGUUAAGGAACUCGGCAAAUUGACUCCGUAACUUCGGAAUAAGGAGUGCUCGAAAGAGCCGCAGAGAAUAGGCCCAGGCGACUGUUUAGCAAAAACACAGGUCUCUGCCAAAUCGAAAGAUGAAGUAUAGGGGCUGACACCUGCCCGGUGCCGGAAGGUUAAGAGGAGGAGUGAGAGCUCCGAAUUGAAGCCCCGGUAAACGGCGGCCGUAACUAUAACGGUCCUAAGGUAGCGAAAUUCCUUGUCGGGUAAGUUCCGACCCGCACGAAUGGUGUAACGAUCUGGGCACUGUCUCAACUACCCACCCGGCGAAAUUGUAGUACCGGUGAAGAUGCCGGUUACCUGCGGCAAGACGGAAAGACCCCAUGGAGCUUUACUGUAGCCUGAUAUUGGGUUUCGGAAAUCUAUGUACAGGAUAGGCGGGAGACUGGGAAACAUGAGCGUCAGCUUGUGUGGAGUCGAUGUUGGGAUACCGCCCUUAGGUUUCUGGAAUUCUAACCUGCGGCCGUGAAUCCGGUCGGGGGACAUUGUCAGGUGGGCAGUUUGACUGGGGCGGUCGCCUCCGAAAAGGUAACGGAGGCGCUCAAAGGUUAGCUCAGCACGGACGGAAACCGUGCCUCUGAGUGUAAACGCAAAAGCUAGCCUAACUGCGAGGGUGACGGCCCGAGCAGUAACGAAAGUUGGAGUUAGUGAUCCGGCGGUAUGUGAAUGGAAAUGCCGUCGCUCAACGGAUAAAAGCUACCCUGGGGAUAACAGGCUGAUCUCCCCCAAGAGUCCACAUCGACGGGGAGGUUUGGCACCUCGAUGUCGGCUCAUCACAUCCUGGGGCUGUAUUCGGUCCCAAGGGUUCGGCUGUUCGCCGAUUAAAGUGGUACGCGAGCUGGGUUCAGAACGUCGCGAGACAGUUCGGUCCCUAUCUGUCGUGGGCGCAGGAUAUUUGAGGAGCUCUGUCCUUAGUACGAGAGGACCGGGAUGGACGUACCUCUGGUGCACCAGUUGUCAUGCCAAUGGCACGGCUGGGCAGCUAUGUACGGAACGGAUAAACGCUGAAAGCAUCUAAGCGUGAAGCCGACUCCAAGAUUAGAUAUCCCAUCGUAUAACGAGUAAGACCCCUUGAAGACUACGAGGUUGAUAGGCUGCGUGUGUAAGUGCCGUGAGGCAUUCAGCUUGGCAGUACUAAUAGGUCGAGGGCUUGACCAC
rnacentral:rRNA from 1 species